UAGGGAAUCUUCCACAAUGGGCGAAAGCCUGAUGGAGCAACGCCGCGUGAGUGAGGAAGGCUUUCGGGUCGUAAGGCUCUGUUGCCAGGGAAGAAUAAGGAUCAUUUAACUGAUGAUCCGAUGACGGUACCUGAGAAGAAAGCCCCGGCUAACUACGUGCCAGCAGCCGCGGUAAUACGUAGGGGGCAAGCGUUGUCCGGAAUUAUUGGGCGUAAAGCGCGCGCAGGCGGCUCUUUAAGUCUGGUGUUUAAGUGCGGGGCUCAACCCCGUGACGCACUGGAAACUGGGGAGCUUGAGUGCAGAAGAGGAGAGCGGAAUUCCACGUGUAGCGGUGAAAUGCGUAGAGAUGUGGAGGAACACCAGUGGCGAAGGCGGCUCUCUGGACUGUAACUGACGCUGAGGCGCGAAAGCGUGGGGAGCAAACAGGAUUAGAUACCCUGGUAGUCCACGCCGUAAACGAUGAGUGCUAGGUGUUGGGGGUAUCAUGCCCUCGGUGCCGAAGUUAACACAUUAAGCACUCCGCCUGGGGAGUACGGUCGCAAGACUGAAACUCAAAGGAAUUGACGGGGUCAU
rnacentral:rRNA from 1 species